AGAGAACUAGAAAAUAAAACUCAGCUGAAAAACGGCCACCUAAGAUGGAAGAAGCCGUGAGAUGAAUAAGUGUUGCCCACUCACAAGGUUGCAAACUGUCCUUCACUUACAAUUAUCCCCCAACUCCCCCUCCUAAAUCUGAUCAAUCACAUGGAACUUGAUGGUUACAAAAGACAGAGCUAACAACUAGCUACCUUGCAGGAACGGGAACGUCAUUCUGAGGAUAGUCCACAUGCAAGUGUUCUAAGGUUGACAUCACUACUUCAUCAUUCACCUCAUUUUCCCAGAACAGAAGCACCAAGAAAAUUAUCACCAUUAUUAUCAUCAGAGUGCAGAUCCUUUUUUAAUAGCGAGAACAUUUAAAACCUACUCUUUGAAUAAUUUUGAAAUCUACCAAAUGGCAGCAUGGCCCAGGAGUGUGACUGGCAGUGAAGGAGCUGGGAAGACCUUGGAUGCAGGAAGGUCAUUUAAAGCAAAAGAUUAAGAAGCAGCAAUGCCCCUCUUGUGGCAAGGGUUGGCAGCAUAUGGUUGGUAUGUCAACGAAUCCAAGGUCCAACGGCCUGGAUUGUCU
rnacentral:antisense_RNA from 1 species